GCAUCAGCCGCUUCAAUCGACUCGAGGCGGAAGGCCGGACCUGGAUGCAUCACAGUAAUGGUUUGGAGAGUAAAUUUCAGCAAGAUGCAAGGGAAUGGUCGCUUCGUGCCUAACUCGACAACAAGGAGCGGAUGGCGAUGCCCUGCAGUUUGUGGUUCAAUUCACCUCUACAGGAGACAAAAAACAGGUGUCCAUGUGAUUUGUCGGAUGAGCCUGUGAAGAAAAGUUGCGGCUUCGGGCGACCAUCCCAGAGCGGAUGAGGCCGAGCGCAGGGUCGAGGACGGGCUGGAGCAGCAGAUCGACUCGGCAGCUGUGUCAUACCGGAGGGGAAGAGAACAACCACAACAACGCCUGGCCCAGCAUGCCUUGCUGACUCCAUUCUCUACCUCGCCUGCUCCGGUCCGCGCUGUUUGUUCCGCACAAAGACUCACCCUAGAUCCCAUCACAUCACCGAUCAAGCACAAUAGCGCCCGCCGGGCGGAGUCAUCUAUUCUCCCAUCAAAAUCAGAAUCUAUUGCAUGUAUUUUCAGGAACAAUUAAAUAUUCUUACUGGCCCACUAGGAUACUAAGUAUUUUACCAUAGAGGAGAAAUUAGGGGCAACUACAUGCAACAAGGGAGCAACACUAGGAGAAGAGCGGAACCAAAAAGUCAGGAAUGUAUAGUUCCUAUGUAAGAGCUUCAGCCAAUGAACGAAAGAUAUGGGUCGUGUGCCACAUCGAGUUAUAGAAAUAGUCAAAAGUUGCUUGAUAGGUCUGUAAGAAAGGAUGAUAGUUCUUGAAUGGAAUAAGACUAGAGAGGUUUGCACCGUGUGUGCUUGUGUGUUAGCAAGAGAUAUACGGGUGACCAAUAUCACUAAGAAUAUAUUAAUAUUUAUCGGAUAAUCAGAAACCACGAGAGUGUUUGUCUGAA